rnacentral:rRNA from 1 species
UUAAGCGACUAAGCGUACACGGUGGAUGCCCUGGCAGUCAGAGGCGAUGAAGGACGUGCUAAUCUGCGAUAAGCGUCGGUAAGGUGAUAUGAACCGUUAUAACCGGCGAUUUCCGAAUGGGGAAACCCAGUGUGUUUCGACACACUAUCAUUAACUGAAUCCAUAGGUUAAUGAGGCGAACCGGGGGAACUGAAACAUCUAAGUACCCCGAGGAAAAGAAAUCAACCGAGAUUCCCCCAGUAGCGGCGAGCGAACGGGGAGCAGCCCAGAGCCUGAAUCAGUGUGUGUGUUAGUGGAAGCGUCUGGAAAGGCGCGCGAUACAGGGUGACAGCCCCGUACACAAAAAUGCACAUACUGUGAGCUCGAUGAGUAGGGCGGGACACGUGGUAUCCUGUCUGAAUAUGGGGGGACCAUCCUCCAAGGCUAAAUACUCCUGACUGACCGAUAGUGAACCAGUACCGUGAGGGAAAGGCGAAAAGAACCCCGGCGAGGGGAGUGAAAAAGAACCUGAAACCGUGUACGUACAAGCAGUGGGAGCACGCUUAGGCGUGUGACUGCGUACCUUUUGUAUAAUGGGUCAGCGACUUAUAUUCUGUAGCAAGGUUAACCGAAUAGGGGAGCCGAAGGGAAACCGAGUCUUAACUGGGCGUUAAGUUGCAGGGUAUAGACCCGAAACCCGGUGAUCUAGCCAUGGGCAGGUUGAAGGUUGGGUAACACUAACUGGAGGACCGAACCGACUAAUGUUGAAAAAUUAGCGGAUGACUUGUGGCUGGGGGUGAAAGGCCAAUCAAACCGGGAGAUAGCUGGUUCUCCCCGAAAGCUAUUUAGGUAGCGCCUCGUGAAUUCAUCUCCGGGGGUAGAGCACUGUUUCGGCAAGGGGGUCAUCCCGACUUACCAACCCGAUGCAAACUGCGAAUACCGGAGAAUGUUAUCACGGGAGACACACGGCGGGUGCUAACGUCCGUCGUGAAGAGGGAAACAACCCAGACCGCCAGCUAAGGUCCCAAAGUCAUGGUUAAGUGGGAAACGAUGUGGGAAGGCCCAGACAGCCAGGAUGUUGGCUUAGAAGCAGCCAUCAUUUAAAGAAAGCGUAAUAGCUCACUGGUCGAGUCGGCCUGCGCGGAAGAUGUAACGGGGCUAAACCAUGCACCGAAGCUGCGGCAGCGACGCUUAUGCGUUGUUGGGUAGGGGAGCGUUCUGUAAGCCUGCGAAGGUGUGCUGUGAGGCAUGCUGGAGGUAUCAGAAGUGCGAAUGCUGACAUAAGUAACGAUAAAGCGGGUGAAAAGCCCGCUCGCCGGAAGACCAAGGGUUCCUGUCCAACGUUAAUCGGGGCAGGGUGAGUCGACCCCUAAGGCGAGGCCGAAAGGCGUAGUCGAUGGGAAACAGGUUAAUAUUCCUGUACUUGGUGUUACUGCGAAGGGGGGACGGAGAAGGCUAUGUUGGCCGGGCGACGGUUGUCCCGGUUUAAGCGUGUAGGCUGGUUUUCCAGGCAAAUCCGGAAAAUCAAGGCUGAGGCGUGAUGACGAGGCACUACGGUGCUGAAGCAACAAAUGCCCUGCUUCCAGGAAAAGCCUCUAAGCAUCAGGUAACAUCAAAUCGUACCCCAAACCGACACAGGUGGUCAGGUAGAGAAUACCAAGGCGCUUGAGAGAACUCGGGUGAAGGAACUAGGCAAAAUGGUGCCGUAACUUCGGGAGAAGGCACGCUGAUAUGUAGGUGAAGUCCCUCGCGGAUGGAGCUGAAAUCAGUCGAAGAUACCAGCUGGCUGCAACUGUUUAUUAAAAACACAGCACUGUGCAAACACGAAAGUGGACGUAUACGGUGUGACGCCUGCCCGGUGCCGGAAGGUUAAUUGAUGGGGUCAGCGCAAGCGAAGCUCUUGAUCGAAGCCCCGGUAAACGGCGGCCGUAACUAUAACGGUCCUAAGGUAGCGAAAUUCCUUGUCGGGU